UACGUAGGGCGCAAGCGUUGUCCGGAAUUAUUGGGCGUAAAGAGCUCGUAGGCGGUUUGUUGCGUCGGCUGUGAAAUCCCGAGGCUCAACCUCGGGUCUGCAGUCGAUACGAGCAAACUAGAGUGUUGCAGGGGAGACUGGAAUUCCUGGUGUAGCGGUGAAAUGCGCAGAUAUCAGGAGGAACACCGGUGGCGAAGGCGGGUCUCUGGGCAACAACUGACGCUGAGGAGCGAAAGCGUGGGGGAGCGAAACAGG
rnacentral:rRNA from 1 species